UCCUAAUGGCGGCGUCGUGCGAGAGAGC
rnacentral:sRNA from 1 species